rnacentral:rRNA from 1 species
GCCAAAAAUCUAGCCCUAUUUAUCCAUAUACCACACCCCAAACACUAGAUAAACUAAAACAUUUUUACAUCUUAGUAAAGGCGAUAGAAAAAUUAAUUGGAGCAAUAACAAUAGUACCGCAAGGAAACGAUGAAAUAAAAAUGAAAUAACUAUUAAGCACAAUAAAGCAGAGAUCACCCCUCGUACCUUUUGCAUCAUGAUUUAACUAGUCUAACCAAGCAAAAAGAACUUUAGUUUGAUAUCCCGAAACUAGACGAGCUACUUCGAGGCAGCUUAAUGAGCACACCCGUCUCUGUUGCAAAAGAGUGGGAUGACCCCUAAGUAGAGGUGACAGACCUAACGAGUUUAGUGAUAGCUGGUUGCUUAAGAAAAGGAUUUUAGUCCAAUCUAAAACAUAUUUAAUUAACUUAAAUAUAUAAAUUAUGUUUUAAUUGCAUUCAAGUGAGGUACAGCCCGCUUGAAAUAAGGAUACAACCUACACUAAUGGGUAAAUUUAAAAUUUUAUAAACAAGUAGGCCUAAAAGCAGCCACCUUUAAAAUAGCGUCAAAGCUUACCUAUUCAUUAAUUUAAUACCAAAAUAUAUUGUUAACCCUUUAUUUUUAUUAAGCAUUUCUAUAACCCCUAUAGAAGAUAUUAUGUUAAAACUAGUAAUAAGAAGUAAGACCUUCUCCUAAAUGUAAGUGUGAAUCAGAAAGGACACCCCACUGAUAAUUAAACGCCAAUGAACUCAAAGCAGCAACUCCCCCAGAAAACCCUGUCUUAUUUGACGUCAAUCUAACACCAGAACAUUUCAAGAAAGAUUUAAAGAAAAAGAAGGAACUCGGCAAACAUUAACCCCGCCUGUUUACCAAAAACAUCGCCUCUUGAAACUACAUAAGAGGUCCAGCCUGCCCAGUGACUAAGUUCAACGGCCGCGGUAUCCUAACCGUGCGAAGGUAGCGUAAUCACUUGUUCUUUAAAUGAGGACUAGUAUGAAUGGCACCACGAGGGUUAUGCUGUCUCCUUUUUCUAAUCAAUGAAACUGAUCUCCCCGUGAAGAAGCGGGGAUAUAUCUAUAAGACGAGAAGACCCUAUGGAGCUUUAAAUCAUGUAACACUGGCUUUCACAUUAAAAUAUUCCAGAAUUUUCAUAAUUACUCUAGCCACUAUGAUUACUAGUUUUAGGUUGGGGUGACCACGGAGCAAAAAUUAACCUCCAUGUUGAACGGAGCUACUCCUGAGCCAAAAGCCACGACUUUAAGCACUAAUAAAUUAACAUUAAUUGACCCAAUAUUUUUGAUCAACGAACCAAGUUACCCUAGGGAUAACAGCGCAAUCCAUUUUAAGAGCCCCUAUCGACAAAUGGGUUUACGACCUCGAUGUUGGAUCAGGGUAUCCCAGUGGUGCAGCCGCUACUAAAGGUUCGUUUGUUCAACGAUUAAAACCCU